GCAGCGCAAAGUAGCUUGCUACUCGGCCGACGAGCGGCGGACGGGUGAGUAAUGUCUGGGAAACUGCCUGAUGGAGGGGGAUAACUACUGGAAACGGUAGCUAAUACCGCAUAACGUCGCAAGACCAAAGAGGGGGACCUUCGGGCCUCUUGCCAUCAGAUGUGCCCAGAUGGGAUUAGCUAGUAGGUGGGGUAACGGCUCACCUAGGCGACGAUCCCUAGCUGGUCUGAGAGGAUGACCAGCCACACUGGAACUGAGACACGGUCCAGACUCCUACGGGAGGCAGCAGUGGGGAAUAUUGCACAAUGGGCGCAAGCCUGAUGCAGCCAUGCCGCGUGUAUGAAGAAGGCCUUCGGGUUGUAAAGUACUUUCAGCGGGGAGGAAGGUGUUGAGGUUAAUAACCUCAGCAAUUGACGUUACCC
rnacentral:rRNA from 1 species